rnacentral:lncRNA from 1 species
UCAAAUCAUGGAUUAAUUAAGCUUAAUAGAUUCGUCUCGCGAAUUAGCCUUCAUUUAUGCAAUUGGUUUUGUAUUUAACCUAUAUUUAAUACUCCUAAUCAGUAUGUAAACAUUUGAUGUGACAGGGACAAAAUUUGUCUCCAAACGGGGCCUAGAUACAAUGGUAGUUUAUCCGGCAAAGACAAUUACAUUAAGUAAGUAAGAUGUAAAUGAUGACGGCCGUUGGUUGCUUGAUGGACGGCAUCCCUGAAGUCGACCAACCGUUAUAAACAUCACCGGCUUCCUCUACUCCCUUGUUCUGCUUCACUUCUGACGAAACUGAAUGAGAAAGCCUCAUUGCCAUUCCUGACAUCCGCCGUGCUAGCUCAGCUCCAGCCUGCUGGUCGCGCCCGCCGUAUCUGGAGAGAGAUGAGCGAGUGCUGCUCAUCGUGAGGAGGUGGCCUAGCCACUUGCUCAUGGGAGUCCGAGAUCGAGAUCCGCUGGCCAGGACUGCUCCCCGCACUGGAGCUAUUGCGUCGUGGUUGGGUGAGACCGCGUCGCCGCGCCGCCCCCUCGCCACCAGCUAGGACCGGCCCACCGUGAAGCGCGCUCGUAUCCUUGCCUGCUCGCCGCUCCGAGCCACAACGACUCUUGCUGGGCCCGUGCUACGUCGGGGUUGGGCUACCGUUCCCGCCGCAGCACUGACGCCUAUCAUCCCCCACCCCUCCCGGCCGGGCCGCGCCGCCGGGGGUUGAGAUGUCGGGGAUGGCUUAGGGCGCGAAAGUGGCGGUUUUGGAGACCUGAG